GCUUUAGAUCACUUUUGUGGAUUGUUCACUUGACGUGAACUGCACGUUGUUAAUUCACAGCUCCCAAACCAUGCGGUCGCGGCAAGGCCUAGGCUAGGCAGUGCCUGCCCGAUCUUUACAGGUGGCCCCACCUGGGCCGAUUCAGUUUGAAUAAACAAUCAGAGCAAGGGA